GGAGGGUUUUACGGCUGUUUUGAAAGCAGCUUUUGCCUACUUAGGCGCCCUCCU
rnacentral:tRNA from 1 species